rnacentral:rRNA from 1 species
AAGUCGUAACAAGGUCUCCGUAGGUGAACCUGCGGAGGAUCAUUACCAGAGAUGGGCGCCUCCGCGCCCACCUCCAACCCUUUGUCGUAUCAUACCUUUGUUGCCUCGGGGGCACCGAGCCUCGCGCGGGCCCCGGUGGACCAUCAAACUCCUGCAUCCGUACGUCGGAGUACUGACAAGCAAAUGAAUCAAAACUUUCAACAACGGAUCUCUUGGUUCUGGCAUCGAUGAAGAACGCAGCGAAAUGCGAUAAGUAAUGUGAAUUGCAGAAUUCAGUGAAUCAUCGAAUCUUUGAACGCACAUUGCGCCCUUUGGCAUUCCGAGGGGCAUGCCCGUUCGAAGCGUCAUUAAAACCCCUCAAGCCUAGCUUGGUGUUGGGUGUCGGGCCCCCCCCGCACCUCUAUAUCGCCGGCUGGCCGUCGUCUGACUUAGCGUUGUGACACCAUGUCGCUGAUGCCAGACGCGGACUGCGCCGUUAGAACUCUCUUGAAUGUCCCCGGACGUUCAGUACAGGUUGACCUCGGAUCGGGUAGGAAUACCCGCUGAACUUAA